GGGCCCGCACAAGCGGUGGAGCAUGUGGUUUAAUUCGAUGAUACGCGAGGAACCUUACCAGGGCUUAAAUGUGGUUUGACAGCUUUAGAGAUAGAGUUUUCUUCGGACAAAUCACAAGGUGCUGCAUGGUUGUCGUCAGCUCGUGCCGUGAGGUGUCAGGUUAAGUCCUAUAACGAGCGCAACCCCUGUUGUUAGUUGCCAGCGAGUAAUGUCGGGAACUCUAGCAAGACUGCCGGUGCAAACCGCGAGGAAGGUGGGGAUGACGUCAAAUCAUCACGGCCCUUACGUCCUGGCUACACACGUGCUACAAUGGUAGGGACAGAGAGCAGCCACUUCGUGAGAAGGAGCGAA
rnacentral:rRNA from 1 species